rnacentral:rRNA from 1 species
GACGAACGCUGGCGGCGUGCCUAACACAUGCAAGUCGAGCGAGAAAGUCCCUUCGGGGGCGAGUACAGCGGCGAACGGGUGAGUAACACGUGGGCAACCUGCCCCAAGGAGCGGGACAACCUCGGGAAACCGGGGCUAAUACCGCAUGACCCGCCACGGCUCAAGCCGUGUCGGCAAAAGGUCGCUUCGGCCUCCGCCUUGGGAUGGGCCCGCGGCGCAUUAGCUUGUUGGUGAGGGUAACGGCCCACCAAGGCGACGAUGCGUAGCUGGUCUGAGAGGACGAUCAGCCACACUGGGACUGAGACACGGCCCAGACUCCUACGGGAGGCAGCAGUGGGGAAUCUUGCGCAAUGGGCGAAAGCCUGACGCAGCAACGCCGCGUGAGGGACGACGGCCCUCGGGUUGUAAACCCUCUUUCAGCGGGGACGAGGCCGACGCGGUUAAUACCCGCGAGCGGUGACGCUACCCGCAGAAGAAGCCCCGGCUAACU